ensembl:lncRNA
GCCUAACUUGGAGAAUCUGUGUUCUUCUCCCGACCUCCCUCAUCAGACGUAGCAUCAACCUCGUGAGAUGCAUAUUCUAUUGGAAGCAGCCUUGUCAAUUUGUCAAUAGUUUGCCAGCUCCCUUUUCUCAUUCCUCAGCUUUGAUUUAUUUCAUUCCUUCUGCCUGCUGUGCCUGUCCUUUUUAUCUCUGCCAAUUAACUUUCUACUUCUCCUUCAAGGUCUUUCUUGAGACCACAAGCGCCUUGACACCCUCUAGAAUCAAACUAACCAAACACAGUACUGCCCUGGAGUUCGUGCGAAAUAUUUGCCCCAUCGGUGCACUUAUCUGUGACACUGCAAUUAUCACUGUGAUUCCAGGAGGUCCAUACCAUUUGUGUCCUUUAUCGAGCCCAUCUUUGCAUGAAAUGAACCUGGAAUGUCAGGUCCAUGAAUCAAGGCAAAUUGGAAGUGGUCAAACAAGAGAUGGCAAGAAUGAACAUCGACAUUCUAAGGAAUCAGCAAACUAAAAUGGACUGGAAUGGGUGAAUUUAACUCAGAUGACCAUUAUAUCUACUACUGUGGGCGGGAAUCCCUCAGAAGAAAUGGGGUAGCCAUCACGGUCAACAAAAGAGUUUGAAAUGCAGUACUUGGAUGCAAUCUCAAAAACGACAGAAUGAUCUCUGUUCAUUUCCAAGGAAAACCAUUCAAUAUUACAGUAAUCCAAGUCUAUGCCCCAACCAGUAAUGCUGAAGAAGCUGAAGUUGAAUGGUGCAAUGAAGACCUACAAGACCUUUUAGAUCUAACACCCAAAAAAGAUGUCCUUUUCAUUAUAGGGGACUGGAAUGCAAAAGUAGGAAGUCAAGAAACAGCUGGAGUAACAGGCAAAUUUGUCCUUGGAAUACGGAAUGAAGCAGGGCAAAGACUAAUAGAGUUUUGCCAAGAAAAUGCACUGGUCAUAGCAAACACCCUCUUCCAACAACACAAGAGAAGACUGCACAUGGACAUCACCAGAUGGUCAACACCAAAAUCAGAUUGAUUAUAUUCUUUGCAGCCAAAGAUGGAGAAGCUCUAUACAGUCAACAAAAACAAGCUGCUUGUGGCUCAGCUCAUGAACUCCUUAUUGCCAAAUUCAGACUUAAAUUGAAGAAAGUAGGGAAACCCACUAGACCAUUCAGGUAUGACCUAAAUCAAAUCCCUUAUGAUUAUACAGUGGAAGUGAGAAAUAGAUUUAAGGGCCUAGAUCUGAUAGAUAGAGUGCCUGAUGAACUAUGGAUGGAGGUUCGUGACAUUGGACAGGAGACAGAGAUCAAGACCAUCCCCAUGGAAAAGAAAUGCAAAAAAGCAAAAUGGCUGUCUGGGGAGGCCUUACAAAUAGCCGUGAAAAGAAGAGAAGUGAAAAGCAAAGGAGAAAAGGAAAGAUAUAAGCAUCUGAAUGCAGAGUUCCAAAGAAUAGCAAGAAGAGAUAAGAAAGCCUUCCUCAGUGAUCAAUGCAAAGAAAUAGAGGAAAACAACAGAAUGGGGAAGACUAGAGAUUUCUUCAAGAAAAUUAGAGAUACACAUGUUAGAGACCUAAAUUUAAGUCACUGUAACAAUUACCUUUUGAGGGAUUUUCCCAGAAGUCCAGUGGUUAAGACUUUGCCUUCCAAUGAAGGGGCUGCUUGUUCAAGCCGUUUGGGGAGCGAAGAUCCUACAUGACUUGGGGCCAAAAAAUCAAAACAUAAAACAGAAACAAUAUUGUAAACAAUUCAGUAAAGACUUUAAAAAUGGUAGACAUCAAAAAAGAAUCUUUGCAAAACUGCAAAUCCACAUUUACUUUCUGAGCCCCUAUUAAGAGCAAGACAUCGAAGAAUAGUAUAUAUUCUUCACACCUUCAGGUUCAUGUCCCAAGC